GAUGAACGCUAGCUACAGGCUUAACACAUGCAAGUCGAGGGGAAACGGCAUUUAGUGCUUGCACUGAAUGGACGUCGACCGGCGCACGGGUGAGUAACGCGUAUCCAACCUUCCCAUAACUAAGGGAUAACCUGCCGAAAGGCAGACUAAUACCUUAUGUAAUUCUUAUGAUGACAUCAGAAGAGAAUGAAAGAUUUAUCGGUUAUGGAUGGGGAUGCGUCUGAUUAGCUUGUUGGCGGGGUAACAGCCCACCAAGGCGACGAUCAGUAGGGGUUCUGAGAGGAAGGUCCCCCACAUUGGAACUGAGACACGGUCCAAACUCCUACGGGAGGCAGCAGUGAGGAAUAUUGGUCAAUGGACGUAAGUCUGAACCAGCCAAGUAGCGUGCAGGACGACGGCCCUAUGGGUUGUAAACUGCUUUUGUAUGGGGAUAAAGUCAAUCACGUGUGAUUGUUUGCAGGUACCAUACGAACAAGGACCGGCUAAUUCCGUGCCAGCAGCCGCGGUAAUACGGAAGGUUCGGGCGUUAUCCGGAUUUAUUGGGUUUAAAGGGAGCGUAGGCCGGAGAUUAAGUGUGUUGUGAAAUGUAGACGCUCAACGUCUGACUUGCAGCGCAUACUGGUUUCCUUGAGUACGCACAACGUUGGCGGAAUUCGUCGUGUAGCGGUGAAAUGCUUAGAUAUGACGAAGAACUCCGAUUGCGAAGGCAGCUGACGGGAGCGCCACUGACGCUUAAGCUCGAAGGUGCGGGUAUCAAACAGG
rnacentral:rRNA from 1 species